UACGAGGGGGCGAGCGUUGUUCGGAAUCACUGGGCUUAAAGGGCGCGUAGGCGGGCUGUCAAGUCUGGGGUGAAAUCCCGCGGCUCAACCGUGGAACUGCCUUAGAUACUGACGGCCUCGAGGGAGGUAGGGGCGAGCGGAACUGCGAGUGUAGAGGUGAAAUUCGUAGAUAUUCGCAAGAACACCCAGUGGCGAAGGGCGGCUCACUGGCCCGGUACUGACGCUGAGG
rnacentral:rRNA from 1 species